AUUGAACGCUGGCGGCAGGCUUAACACAUGCAAGUCGAGCGGAGAUGAGGUGCUUGCACCUUAUCUUAGCGGCGGACGGGUGAGUAAUGCUUAGGAAUCUGCCUAUUAGUGGGGGACAACAUUCCGAAAGGAAUGCUAAUACCGCAUACGCCCUACGGGGGAAAGCAGGGGAUCUUCGGACCUUGCGCUAAUAGAUGAGCCUAAGUCGGAUUAGCUAGUUGGUGGGGUAAAGGCCUACCAAGGCGACGAUCUGUAGCGGGUCUGAGAGGAUGAUCCGCCACACUGGGACUGGGACACGGCCCAGACUCCUACGGGAGGCAGCAGUGGGGAAUAUUGGACAAUGGGCGGAAGCCUGAUCCAGCCAUGCCGCGUGUGUGAAGAAGGCCUUUUGGUUGUAAAGCACUUUAAGCGAGGAGGAGGCUACCUGGAUUAAUACUCUAGGAUAGUGACGUUACUCGCAGAAUAAGCACCGGCUAACUCUGUGCCAGCCGCCGCGGUAAAAC
rnacentral:rRNA from 1 species